rnacentral:rRNA from 1 species
CCUACGGGAGGCAGCAGUGAGGAAUAUUGGUCAAUGGACGCAAGUCUGAACCAGCCAUGCCGCGUGCAGGAAGACGGCUCUAUGAGUUGUAAACUGCUUUUGUACGAGGGUAAACGCAGAUACGCGUAUCUGUCUGAAUGUACCGUACGAAUAAGGAUCGGCUAACUCCGUGCCAGCAGCCGCGGUAAUACGGAGGAUUCAAGCGUUAUCCGGAUUUAUUGGGUUUAAAGGGUGCGUAGGCGGUCGGAUAAGUUAGAGGUGAAAUCCCGAGGCUCAACUUCGGAAUUGCCUCAGAAACUGUUCGGCUAGAGAGUAGUUGUGGUAGGCGGAAUGUAUGGUGUAGCGGUGAAAUGCUUAGAGAUCAUGCAGAACACCGAUUGCGAAGGCAGCUUACCAGGCUACUUCUGACGUUGAGGCACGAAAGCGUGGGGAGCGAACAGGAUUAGAUACCCCAGUAGUC